rnacentral:other from 1 species
AGUUAUCUGUGGUGUGCGUUGCACAUAUAUUGUGUGGACCGACCAUAUUAUCUUUGAUAAGGGAUCCCGUGGUAGGGGCCUAUGACAAGCCUUUUACAUUUGGAAGUCAAAUGGCUCUUGCGUGGAACCCACCUGCAAUUACCAGCGGGUUCAAAACAUGUAUGUGCUAAGACGGCACCAACGGAGCUUUU